UACAGAGGUCCCAAGCGUUGUUCGGAUUCAUUGGGCGUAAAGGGUGCGUAAGCGGCGCGGGAAGUCGGGUGUGAAAUCUCGGAGCUUAACUCCGAAACUGCAUUCGAUACUGCCGUGCUUGAGGACUGGAGAGGAGACUGGAAUUUACGGUGUAGCGGUGAAAUGCUUAGAUAUCGGGAGGAACACCAGUGGCGAAGGCGGUGCGCUGGGCCGGAACUGACGCUGAGACGCGAAAGCGUGGGGAGCAAACAGG
rnacentral:rRNA from 1 species